GUAGGUGGCAAGCGUUGUCCGGAAUUAUUGGGCGUAAAGCGCGCGCAGGCGGUUCUUUAAGUCUGAUGUGAAAGCCCACGGGCUCAACCGUGGAGGGUCAUUGGAAACUGGAGAACUUGAGUACAGAAGAGGAAAGCGGAAUUCCACGUGUAGCGGUGAAAUGCUUAGAGAUGUGGAGGAACACCAGUGGCGAAGGCGGCUUUCUGGUCUGUAACUGACGCUGAGGCGCGAAAGCGUGGGGAGCAAACAGGAUUAGAUACCCUGGUAGUCCACGCCGUAAACGAUGAGUGCUAAGUGUUAGGGGGUUUCCGCCCCUUAGUGCUGCAGCUAACGCAUUAAGCACUCCGCCUGGGGAGUACGGCCGCGAGGCUG
rnacentral:rRNA from 1 species